GAUGAACGCUAGCUACAGGCUUAACACAUGCAAGUCGAGGGGCAGCAGGAUCUAGCAAUAGAUUGCUGGCGACCGGCGCACGGGUGAGUAACACGUAUCCAACCUGCCGAUAACUCGGGGAUAGCCUUUCGAAAGAAAGAUUAAUACCCGAUGGUAUAAUCAGACCGCAUGGUUUGAUUAUUAAAGAAUUUCGGUUAUCGAUGGGGAUGCGUUCCAUUAGGCAGUUGGUGAGGUAACGGCUCACCAAACCUUCGAUGGAUAGGGGUUCUGAGAGGAAGGUCCCCCACAUUGGAACUGAGACACGGUCCAAACUCCUACGGGAGGCAGCAGUGAGGAAUAUUGGUCAAUGGACGCGAGUCUGAACCAGCCAAGUAGCGUGAAGGAUGACUGCCCUAUGGGUUGUAAACUUCUUUUAUAUGGGAAUAAAGUUUUCCACGUGUGGAAUUUUGUAUGUACCAUAUGAAUAAGGAUCGGCUAACUCCGUGCCAGCAGCCGCGGUAAUACGGAGGAUCCGAGCGUUAUCCGGAUUUAUUGGGUUUAAAGGGAGCGUAGGUGGACAGUUAAGUCAGUUGUGAAAGUUUGCGGCUCAACCGUAAAAUUGCAGUUGAUACUGGCUGUCUUGAGUACAGUAGAGGUGGGCGGAAUUCGUGGUGUAGCGGUGAAAUGCUUAGAUAUCACGAAGAACUCCGAUUGCGAAGGCAGCUCACUGGACUGCAACUGACACUGAUGCUCGAAAGUGUGGGUAUCAAACAGGAUUAGAUACCCUGGUAGUCCACACAGUAAACGAUGAAUACUCGCUGUUUGCGAUAUACAGUAAGCGGCCAAGCGAAAGCAUUAAGUAUUCCACCUGGGGAGUACGCCGGCAACGGUGAAACUCAAAGGAAUUGACGGGGGCCCGCACAAGCGGAGGAACAUGUGGUUUAAUUCGAUGAUACGCGAGGAACCUUACCCGGGCUUAAAUUGCAUUUGAAUAAUCUGGAAACAGGUUAGCCGCAAGGCAAAUGUGAAGGUGCUGCAUGGUUGUCGUCAGCUCGUGCCGUGAGGUGUCGGCUUAAGUGCCAUAACGAGCGCAACCCUUAUCUUUAGUUACUAACAGGUCAUGCUGAGGACUCUAGAGAGACUGCCGUCGUAAGAUGUGAGGAAGGUGGGGAUGACGUCAAAUCAGCACGGCCCUUAUGUCCGGGGCUACACACGUGUUACAAUGGGGGGUACAGAAGGCAGCUACCUGGUGACAGGAUGCUAAUCCCAAAAGCCUCUCUCAGUUCGGAUCGAAGUCUGCAACCCGACUUCGUGAAGCUGGAUUCGCUAGUAAUCGCGCAUCAGCCAUGGCGCGGUGAAUACGUUCCCGGGCCU
rnacentral:rRNA from 1 species